rnacentral:rRNA from 1 species
UACGUAGGGACCGAGCGUUGUCCGGAAUCAUUGGGCGUAAAGAGCGUGUAGGCGGCCUUUUAAGUCCUGCGUGAAAUCCUGCGGCUCAACCGCAGACGGUCGUGGGAAACUGGAAGGCUAGAGUGCGGGAGAGGGGAGUGGAAUUCCCGGUGUAGCGGUGAAAUGCGUAGAUAUCAGGAGGAACACCUGCGGUGUAGACGGCUUACUGGACCAUAACUGACGCUGAGGCACGAAAGCGUGGGUAGCAAACAGG